rnacentral:rRNA from 1 species
GACGAACGCUGGCGGCGUGCCUAAUACAUGCAAGUAGAACGCUGAAGGAGGAGCUUGCUUCUCUGGAUGAGUUGCGAACGGGUGAGUAACGCGUAGGUAACCUGCCUGGUAGCGGGGGAUAACUAUUGGAAACGAUAGCUAAUACCGCAUAAGAGUAGAUGUUGCAUGACAUUUGCUUAAAAGGUGCAAUUGCAUCACUACCAGAUGGACCUGCGUUGUAUUAGCUAGUUGGUGGGGUAACGGCUUACCAAGGCGACGAUACAUAGCCGACCUGAGAGGGGGAUCGGCCACACUGGGACUGAGACACGGCCCAGACUCCUACGGGAGGCAGCAGUAGGGAAUCUUCGGCAAUGGACGGAAGUCUGACCGAGCAACGCCGCGUGAGUGAAGAAGGUUUUCGGAUCGUAAAGCUCUGUUGUAAGAGAAGAACGAGUGUGAGAGUGGAAAGUUCACACUGUGACGGUAUCUGACCAGAAAGGGACGGCUAACUACGUG